CAGCAGCCGCGGUAAUACGUAGGGUGCAAGCGUUAAUCGGAAUUACUGGGCGUAAAGCGUGCGCAGGCGGUCUGUCAAGUCAGAUGUGAAAUCCCCGGGCUUAACCUGGGAACUGCAUUUGAAACUGGCAGGCUAGAGUCUUGUAGAGGGGGGUAGAAUUCCAGGUGUAGCGGUGAAAUGCGUAGAGAUCUGGAGGAAUACCGGUGGCGAAGGCGGCCCCCUGGACAAAGACUGACGCUCAGGUGCGAAAGCGUGGGGAGCAAACAGGAUUAGAUACCCCGGUAGUCCCUGUCUCUUAUAC
rnacentral:rRNA from 1 species